AAAGAAUUAAUUUAAAAACAAAAUAUAGGUAUGUCAAAUCUAAGAUACUUCCUGGGUAUUCUUUU
rnacentral:tRNA from 1 species